UGGGAACCCAACAACGCGCGGGAGGAGACGUGCGGGCGGCGUACAAUGACUAACGUCACCUCGGGCCGACAGCGUCAUCAUCGGCUGCGCUCGGCUCACACACUCGCCUUUUGGACACCACCGUCGACGCACGAUUACCGCGUAUCCUAGAUAAUUAUUGUAAAUUAGGCUGGCGAGAAUACAGCACCUAUUUUUAUACAGUCCGCUAUUUCAUUUAUUACUAAUAUUCGUUAGGACCCUAACAAUGGUCCUUUAGGAUAUCGCCGUCUUAUUUGCGAAAAUAUUAUCGGGAAUACCACUUCAAGAAUUCCUUCAAAAUUCAAGACCCUUCAAUUUGGAGCUCUUCAGUGUGGACUUCAGCUACGCUAGAUACCUGCGGGAGCCUUCAUUAUUCCCGCAAGGAUACUACGCAAGCACCGCACGCGCCAUACGCAGGUCAUUUGGAGGACAGCGCGCGACGGACUUUGAACCCGCCACAUAUUCGAGUCGUCGUGUCAUCAAUAUCGCACAGUCAUUAUCAUUGUGACCUGUGCCAAGGAUUUGUUGGAAGGUUUAUAGAAGAUACGUGAGUCGUUCCAAUUUUUUCCUUAAUUAUCCCUCUUUUUCACAGCGUUUAAAUUGCUAAAAUUGAGCGAGUGCUUCCCAAAUUAUUUAAAUUUUGCCUUUUCUUCUCUUUAUAGCAAUCUUUCGCGCUUCACGCUAGUUCAUAUUAAUAUUAAUUACCACAUUUAAUCAUUAAAAUCACAAUUAUAAUUAGUUACAUUAAAUAAAAUCAAUCAUUGCACUUAUUAACGCAGUGUAUUUGCAUUUCGUCUUCUUACGCAUUUUUUCCUUUGCUUGUAGGCUAAUAAGAUAACGGAGCGGGCCGCUCGGCCGUCCUUAUCUACGAUCGCACAGCUGUUCUUUUGUUAACGCUCGCUGCCGGGUCAUUAGCUCGCUGCACCUGUUUUAUUACCUUUCCAUUCAUUGCAUUUUAUUGAUAAUUUUACAACUUCCGUCUUCCAUUCAUCUUUCUUUUCAUUCAUAAUGGCUGACGACAAAUUACUUAAGAAGCGUAGUUGUAUGAAGGCUAAGCUGACGAUCUUUAGUAAUUAUUUAAAGUUGCUUAAAAGUUCUGAUGAACCAGGAAACUUGCAGUUAGUGGAUUUAGAAAGUCGUUUGCAAAAAUUUGAAAGCUUAUACGCCAAAUAUGAUGCGUUACAGUGCAACAUCGAGGAGUUAUCGGAAGACCAAGAUGACGAGUGCCGGGAGCGUGAGCAGUUCGAAGACACGUAUUACAAGCUGGUGGCAGAGGCGCGCGUCCUGCUGGGCGCUCGCCCGCGCCAGCAUCGCGGGCUCCAGGGAGGAGCCGUGGCGAGUGACAGUGAUGAACAGGCCAGUAGCUUUAAAUCUAAUUGCGUGAGAUUGCCAAAGAUUGAAUUGCCAGUUUUUCACGGGAACUAUCAACACUGGCUCGAAUUUAGGGAUACUUUCAUAUCAUUAAUUCAUUCCAGAACCGACAUAGAUAACAUCAAUAAACUCCAUUAUCUUCGUGCAUCUUUGAAAGGUAGUGCUUCUCUUGUUAUUGAUAAUUUAGAUGUACGUGCAGACAAUUACGAGUCUGCCUGGAAGUUAGUUUGCGAUAGGUUUGAUAACAAAAGACUGCUCGUAAAUAACCACGUCCAGGCCUUAUUUAACGUCAAGCACUUACAGACUGAGUCUUGUACAGGAAUUCGUCAUCUUAUAGAUUUAACAAAUAAAAAUCUUAGAGCAUUGUCCACUUUGGGUCAGCCUACCCAGCAUUGGGACACACUCAUCAUCCAUAUGAUGGCAGAAAAACUAGAUUCAAUAACGCAUAGGCAAUGGGAGGAGCAUAGAAAUACAUUAACGAAUUUUCCUUCAUUAGAUAUAUUUAUACAGUUUUUAAGUAACAGAGCAGAUUUAUUGGAAACAUUGCAAGAAAACAAAAAUAAUAAUACAAAUAAAAUAGAAAGUUCUAAAACUAAUUCUUACUUACAAACUACAAAUUAUAAACAAAAUAACUACAAUACUAAUAAUAAUAAUAACAAAAAAGAGACAAAAACAAAUAAUAAUAAUUUCAAAAAAUCAUAUCUGUGCACUAUUUGUAAACAGAAUCAUUUCUUAUUCAAUUGUGAAUCAUUUCGUGCUCUUCCUAUUGAAACCCGUAUCCAAAAGGCGUCAGACGCCAAAGUUUGUUUAAAUUGUCUUAGACCAGGUCAUGUAGAAAAUAAAUGCAGUCUUGUGCCUUGUAAAUAUUGCAAACAAAAGCAUAACACUCUUUUGCAUUUACAUGAAUCAAACCCCACGCCUGGACCUUCUGUCCCAAUUAAUACUUUUGCAAAUUCCACCGACAUUAAUAAGCAGAUGACUACUCCGCCACAUGUUUUGCUUUCCACAGCGAUGGUGAAGGUGCUGGACAGCAAGGGCGCCGUGCACCAGGCUCGAGUGCUGCUCGACAAUGGUAGCACGGCGAACUUCGUCACGCAGUCAUUAUGCGAUCCCGGAGGAGACCAACAUCAACCGGCUGCAGCGCUUCAAGAGAAUAGAGCUCAUAAAGCAGCACUUUUGGAGACGCUUCUCCUUGGAGUAUGUGGCUCUGUUACAGCAGAAGGUGAAGUGGCAGUCAUCGAAGGCAGAACCAAAGAUUGGCGCUCUUGUGCUCAUCAAAGAUAGAGCUCUUCCACCACUGCUCUGGUCUAUGGGCCGAGUCAUCAAGCUCUAUCCUGGCACCGAUAAUGUGUCUAGAGUCGCUGAGCUCAAGACGAAGGGUGGCACCAUUAGAAGAGCCCUCAUUAAUUUGUGCCCUCUUCCAGAUUGUUGAAGUCUUCUCGUCUUCAGACUUCAAGCCGGGGAGCAUGUUGGGAACCCAACAACGCGCGGGAGGAGACGUGCGGGCGGCGUACAAUGACUAACGUCACCUCGGGCCGACAGCGUCAUCAUCGGCUGCGCUCGGCUCACACACUCGCCUUUUGGACACCACCGUCGACGCACGAUUACCGCGUAUCCUAGAUAAUUAUUGUAAAUUAGGCUGGCGAGAAUACAGCACCUAUUUUUAUACA